rnacentral:rRNA from 1 species
UACGGAGGGUGCAAGCGUUAAUCGGAAUUACUGGGCGUAAAGCGCGCGCAGGCGGCUAUUUAAGUCGGAUGUGAAAGCCCCGGGCUCAACCUGGGAACUGCAUUCGAUACUGGAUAGCUAGAGUACGAGAGAGGGUGGUAGAAUUUCUAGUGUAGCGGUGAAAUGCGUAGAUAUUAGAAGGAAUACCAGUGGCGAAGGCGGCCACCUGGCUCGAUACUGACGCUCAUGUGCGAAAGCGUGGGGAGCAAACAGG